rnacentral:rRNA from 1 species
GACAGAGGGUGCAAACGUUGUUCGGAAUUACUGGGCGUAAAGCGAGUGUAGGCGGUCUCGUAAGUCGGGUGUGAAAGCCCUGGGCUCAACCCAGGAAGUGCACUCGAAACUGCGAGGCUAGAGUACUGGAGAGGUUGGUGGAAUUCUCGGUGUAGAGGUGAAAUUCGUAGAUAUCGAGAGGAACACCGGUGGCGAAGGCGGCCAACUGGACAGAUACUGACGCUGAGACGCGAAAGCGUGGGGAGCGAACAGG